UUACCGAGUUUACAACUCCCAAACCCCUGUGAACAUACCUUAAUGUUGCCUCGGCGGAUCAGCCCGCGCCCCGUAAAACGGGACGGCCCGCCAGAGGACCCAAACUCUAAUGUUUCUUAUUGUAACUUCUGAGUAAAACAAACAAAUAAAUCAAAACUUUCAACAACGGAUCUCUUGGUUCUGGCAUCGAUGAAGAACGCAGCAAAAUGCGAUAAGUAAUGUGAAUUGCAGAAUUCAGUGAAUCAUCGAAUCUUUGAACGCACAUUGCGCCCGCUGGUAUUCCGGCGGGCAUGCCUGUUCGAGCGUCAUUUCAACCCUCAAGCCCCCGGGUUUGGUGUUGGGGAUCGGCUCUGCCCUUCUGGGCGGCGCCGCCCCCGAAAUACAUUGGCGGUCUCGCUGCAGCCUCCAUUGCGUAGUAGCUAACACCUCGCAACUGGAACGCGGCGCGGCCAUGCCGUAAAACCCCAACUUCUGAAUGUUGACCUCGGAUCAGGUAGGAAUACCCGCUGAACUUAAGCAUAUCAAUAAGCGGAGGAAAAGAAACCAACAGGGAUUGCCCUAGUAACGGCGAGUGAAGCGGCAACAGCUCAAAUUUGAAAUCUGGCUUUCGGGCCCGAGUUGUAAUUUGUAGAGGAUACUUUUGAUGCGGUGCCUUCCGAGUUCCCUGGAACGGGACGCCAUAGAGGGUGAGAGCCCCGUCUGGUUGGAUGCCAAAUCUCUGUAAAGUUCCUUCGACGA
rnacentral:rRNA from 1 species